GUGUCUCCACACUCCCCGACUUCACUUCCCUGGAGCCGGAGAGGACCCAGGGCCCACGUGGCUCGAAUGCAUGCGGAGGAUGGGCCUUGGGUGAACCAACAGAAUUCUCUCCGAGCUGGAUUCCUCUGGGUCCUGACAGCAUUUUAUAAAACGCGCGGAUCUCUUACAUGCAGAGGGGCUCCAGACACGAAUACGCACUCGUAUCCGAAACACAGAUGCCCUGGGCCCCUGGCCAUCAGUUCCUGCUUUUGCCAUCCUGCUGUUUCUAACCGCAACCAGCCACCCUCCCCGUGUCCCUGCUUCCUCUGCUCGCUCCUCUGUUUACGACACCAAACGACCGGUGACCGGAGGCAUGUGUCCCCACGCUUACCUGUAACCCCAGCCAGGCACUUACAGAACGUCUCCAAAGGCUACCGGUGCGUUUUGGGGCCCCGGUGACUGCCACCACAUCGGCUAAAGUGUUUACCAAGAUGUUCUGUGAAAGCCACGGCGACGUACAGAAAAAAUAAUCGGGGAAAAAGAUUUCCGAGCUCCUAGUAACACGCUAACAAAAUCCUUGGGAGUUGCCAGAUGUAAGAACCGUGACUAGGGGGCUGGUAAGAGAAAGUAAAAGCCUUCUUCUUUCCCUUCCUGUUUCUCAGGCCCCUGGGAUAGAGCAGAGAGCCACUCACAGCCUCACCACAGAGCAGCUUUAAAGAACAGAAACCAGAAGGGCCAGGAAAGAUCCCUUGUCCCAGGGCUCGGGGGCCCCUUGUCUCUGUCUUUGGUCCCAAUGCUUCAAAGAACAGGAGCCCCAGGGCCUUGUGUGCACCAGGGAGGAGCGUCCUAGCAGCAAGGGGCCCUCUCUUUGCAAGGUGUCUCCUUCUCAUCACUGUGUCGCCUCCAUUAUUCGAAAUCUCUUCAUCGUGCUGUGCCCAGAUGCGUAUCUCCAGGACUUCUGCCCAGAGUCCUGAUGCUUCCUCUGGAGCAACACAGAAACCCCUUGCUCCGCUCUGCCUGGCAGCCUUUCAGGUAUUUGAAGAGAGAUCGAAACCCCAGUGUGAUUCACAGCCCACGUCUCCGGAAUGUUCUUUGUCAGGCAUGAUUCCAAAGCUCCUGCCAGCCUGACCCCAGCUCUGUACACACUUUACUCUGACUCCAAGCUUCAAAACAUGCUGGCCAGAGGGCACAGCUCUCCCGGGGUCCGAACAUCUACAUUGUGAAUUCAGAUUUGUGGCUGUUAAUCAGCCGUCCUCUAGGAGGGAGGCAGACUUCCUGUCACUGGACAGUGGACAGCGAGAGGCUGCAGAAACCAAACUGGUGAAAACAAGAGCAGAGACUUGGAUACUACCCCGUGCAGCCCUGGGAGCCCUAUGGGGGAGCACAAAGGGCAGAAGAGGGGGGUUCCCAGCCCAGCGACAUGGACACGAUGACGUCACCACCCUUGGCUGGAGAACAUUUUGCUCCUCGGUGAGAGGCGGGCCUGAGAGCAAAGUUCACCUCCCACACGGCCAGUCCCCUUGUGCCCAGCGGUACCUGGACUUCUGCUAAUGACCCACGGGCAGGGCCAAGUCCUUAGCACCGCUCUCUGUGUGAUGCAUCCCAGGGCCAAGCGUUGGAAUCAGGAAAACCACCUCACGAUUGGAACUAAUUGCCAGAUUCUAGCAACCUCAGGAAAGAGGCCAUGGCCCCCACAGCUGGGAGGCAGAAAUGUGCCGGGGGCCGUGGGCAGUGUGCAGAAAUGGGUCAUCCGCACAUCCGGGCUUUCUGUGCAUGGAGAUUUAACCCUUCGGGACCCACUAGCCAUCUGGUUCUUCUAGCUCUGGUUUUCCAGAAGUCCUCAGAACUCAGGGGAGAGCCAGUGGCUUUGUGGGUGGGCGGGAACUGCCACCACCCGCUCCUCAAACACCUGGUCAUCAGGGAGCCUGGCCUGGUGGACGCCGCAGCCCGUGGACCACAACGUACCCCUAACAGGCUGGGCCUUUGAGAUCUUCCAAAAAGUCCCAGCUGGCAUGCCGAGCCUCUGGGAAAUGUAUCUGGGUUCUCUCGGGGAGAGAAGGAGGGAGAGUGCAUUUUCCACCCUUAUGCUCCAUCACCCAGCGUGGUCAUGUCUCUGGGGACGAGUAACAAGUUGCUCGUCCUUGGAAAAGCAUAGGUGUAUAUGGGGUGGGGUAGGCGAGUAGGAGUAUUAAGGAAGAAAUAAGCCUCUUUUGUUCAUCUCCUUGCAAUUCAUUGAUUUUUGCAACAGAUUUACUUUUUCUAUUUAUUGGUAGCUUGGGCCAAUAGUGCAACUUUGGGUCCCCUGAGAACAAACUGGGUAGGUGGAGAAAAGAGACUGGUGGGCCAGUUUGUUUGUUUGUUUGUUUGUUUGUUUGUUGGUGGUGGUUUUUUUUUUUUUUUUGGGUGGGGGGGAAGAUUGCAGACUGGGUGAAAUUCUCCCUCGCUCUCAUAGCAACCUGCACCACCUGAGUUAACUGAUGGGGGCCUUUCUCUAGAUAGAAGCUAUGGUGAGUUGACCAAGGCCAGCAGCCAUGUGCAACGCCUCUCAUAUCCCCGCCCCUCCCUCAUGAAGCAGCUGCUCAGGGAAGUGUUUUGGACUGACAUUCACUAUCCAGAACUUUUGGAGUAGCAAAAGCCAGGUGCUCACUGGUAGACACAGGGCCUGUAACUCUUCAUCUGGAUAUUGAACAAACCUGGAGACCACUAGAAGAAGCUAGGACAUGUCCCGGUCAGGCUGAGCUGCCCAAAUAAUCUAGCGACACAUUGGAGAGUUUGCUUUCCAGGUUUGGCUGAAUAUUUCCCCCACCAGUUGACAUACUGGUGGCUGGAUUCUUCCGGCGUGUGGAUAUCAGCCAUUGUCCCUUUAUGCUGUGCUGUCAUUUCCAAAUCUACAGCCCCCGUCGGCACGAUAUGUUCAAUCCCAUGCAGAAAUGUAGCAGAGCUUGGCAAUAGUAACUAUUCUUUGGAGAUCUUCAGGCCAAGAAGCUGGCAUGGUUGACAUCUUAUUAAAUGGAAAGGUUAGCCCUUCACUGCUGGGGAAGGAAGUGGCAUCUACACAGAUACUAUUAUACCGCCGAUGAUUGGUUGCUGAUUUGAGAUGAGCCCCAGGUGGUCAUGAGAAACCAGCAGAACAGCACCCCUUCCUCAGUCUCCAAUUCUGCUCUCCAGGGAAAACAUCCCUGGGUCUGCAGCGGCUGAACACCACGAUAUAUGUCCUAGUUACAUGACGUUUCCCUAUCUUGGAGAACUGUUGAGUACUCCAAGUUCAAGGGUUGUAAAAAACCAUCAGCAAGGAAGCCCCCAUAGGCUCUGGGGAGCCCUUAGCAGACAUGAGCUGGAGCAGCUGAACUGUGUACCUUCACUGAUCAGGACGUGGUUUAUCUUCUACGGCACCUAGAGGCUGGCAGUGACUUCACGACAUUGGAACGCGGCUCUGCAGUAACAGAGUAAAAGCAGAGAGCCAGGCAAAGCAAAGGCAAAUGUGGGCCCUGAGCCUUCAGGAUUGUCCCAGCCUACGCCCACCCCUGCCCUCUCCACUCCAUGGUGCCCACUUCCCUCACACGGGGCUGCAGAGCCAGGCUGGGACCUACCCUUGCGGCCUCUGAGGUUCCCUGACACAGGGAAGCAGGGCUCUCCCUGAAGCCACGUCUCUCAAAUUGGAGCCGACUGAUUCCAAACAGACACAGCAUGAAAAUCAAAAAAUUCGCAGGCUGCUAUCACAUAUUUUAAAAAAUGUUAAAUGUGUCUGGAGAUUCAGGAACUAUGACACAUUCUGGUUUUGAAAAUGCUAUUCACAUCCUGAAUGUGUGACUGAAUCUUGGAAAGUCUUAGCUUCUGGGUGCCGCAAAGGGAAUAUUCCUCCUUUCCCUGAGAAGCUGAGGUCAGGGCUGGAGGGGGGGACGGGGAGGGAG